rnacentral:rRNA from 1 species
UACGAGAGGCCCAAACGUUAUUCGGAAUUACUGGGCUUAAAGAGUCCGUAGGCGGCGCAGAAAGUAGGGUGUGAAAUCCCUCGGCUUAACCGAGGAAUUGCGCUCUAAACUACUGUGCUUGAGGAACCUAGAGGUGAGCGGAACUGAUGGUGGAGCGGUGAAAUGCGUUGAUAUCAUCAGGAACACCGGAGGCGAAGGCGGCUCACUGGGGGUUAUCUGACGCUGAGGGACGAAAGCCAGGGGAGCGAACGGG